CCAGAAUUGUUGAUGUCACAGGGGAGGGUGGGGCUGAAAGUCUCAGGUCUUCCUCUGGCCUCAUGCUGCCUCCCCAGAGAUCAUCUAAGGGAGCUGCAUAAAGACUCUCACCACAUAACCUGCGUGACUGAAGCAGCAGACACUGAUGUCUUCAUGGGUCUGGAGGUAGAAGAGCAAGACCAGGGCUUCAGCAGGGUUGAUUCCUCUGCCUGUGGCUUUCACAGGUGCCUUCUCUCCAUGUCUUCACAUGCUCCUCUCUCUGGAUGGAAAGCUCCUUGAGGCUAGAAUGCUUCUACCACGUUUGUGGCUCCUGCUUGAGUUGCAUCUUGAUGGGUGCACAAGAAGCCCUUAGAGCUUGUUCAUUCCAUCCACCAGGAGUCUGCAGCUCACGGCACUGCCACCUAGACACCAGGGAAUGUCACGCUGUCUUUCAGCAAAAGUGGAUUGAGUCUGAACAGCUAUGGGAUGGUAGAGACCAUUGCAAAAAGCAUACGCCUGCUUCCAUGUACUGGCAUUACUGGGAGAGCAGGAAUUUAUAUUUCUCUGCCCAUUUGAACAUCUAGUGGAGUCACAUGACCACUUCUUACCAAUGAGGCGAGGAAGCUGCGAGGGCUCCUGGUAGAAGGCAUUGUUUCUGGCGGUGGAGGAGAGGAAGGCUGGUGCUUGUCAAGGACCCAAGUCCUGGCAGGGACAGAAGGAUCCAAAGACCCAAGUCCUGGCAGGGACAGAAGGACCCAAAGACCCAAGUCCUGGAAGGGACAGAAGGACCAGAGGAACCUGUGGAACCAAGCUUAGCCAAGCUGUCUUUGGAUUCUUGGAGGCUAUGCUCACCGAGUCUGCUAAUCUUGGGCACAACAGAACCGAGUCCUGGUAGGGACAGAAGGACCUGAGGAACCAAGUCCUGGCAGGGACAGAAGGCAGGAGAUCACUCCAGGUGGUUGGAACACAGUAUAGACGAUGAGGAAAUUGAGAUUGACAAGGUAAAAUGUAAAACCACAAAUCUUGAAGACAGAAGACUGGGGAUUUGAACUUCAGCUUCAAGUUGUUGAUAGCGUUUGCUGUUGGAUGAGACCACUGAGGCUAGAGAAUAUAAGAAAUCAAGAUGGACUCCUUAUACUUCAGGAGCUGGGAUUUGAACCCAAGCUAGACCUUCCUCCAUCCCAACGCUCCAAAACCACUCUCUUUGAAACCAGACAACUCCAGGUUUGAAUCCAAGCUCUGCAACAUAUCUGGUGCAUGCCAAGGUUGUGUAGGUCAAGCAAUCCUCGGGGAAGAAAACUCCUACUGGGCCAAGGACAUAGCUGCAGAGAGGUCUCCCCUGAACCCACCUCUCACUUCUGAUACUUCACUGGCCCCAGACAGCAUGAGGACCUGUGGCUCCAGUGUGGCGAUCCAGAACUUCAGCCCUGGUGUUAAAGAGGUCCUGGUGCAAGUCCCGUCACGGGUGUUUUGAAGACUUGACGCAGGGCUUGCUCGCCCUGGCUCCUGGUGCUCAACUGCUCUUCUGGCUUCUUCUGUGUCCCUCAUGUGUGUCCUCUACUGUCUCACACAUUCUGGGUUUGCUGCACCAUAGGUUCUGCCUCUGCCUGGUCUGUAUUUGGCUUCAAAUCCCACGACCCACUGCUCUGUCAUUUUACAUAUUUCAUCCGAACUCCCUCUAACAAGACUUCCUGAUGGAUUUAGAAUCAUUAUUAUCCCUUUGGGGCAAGUACUUUGACUCUGGAGCCAGAAGCCCCUAGAGGUGGCUGUUCAUGGGUCAGGUGCCUAUUCACGGGCCAGUCAGCUUUGCUCGUGGCCCUGCAGGUCAUGCGAUCGGCUCUUUAGAAAAGACAGUGGAUGUGCCAGAUACUUAGAGUGGAAUAGAAUUCCUCUGCUACAGCAUCUAAUUCACUUCGUAUGUGACCUAAGACACAGACUCUGUUCAAGGAACAUCUUUACAAGAAUGAUAACAAAAGCAGUAAGAAUGACAACAGGAACAGCUUUGUCAAGCACUGACUGUUUUCCAGGCAUCAUAUUAAGCACUUUACACAAAUCAGUCCUUUCUGUCUCCAUAGUAACUUUAAUAAUUAGGAACUGUUUUUUUUUUUUUUUUCAGGGAUGAGAAAACACUCUCAAAGAUGUGAAAUAACUUUCCAAGCUGAUGUUGGGGAUGAAAUUCAAGCCCCGAUAGGUCAGACUCCGAACAGGGGUGUUUCACUCAGAACAAACCCGUGGAGUAGGACUUAACAUCGUGUCGAGCAGGCCUCCCAGGGAUGCUAAAAGGCCUCCUGGUGGUCAUGCUGACUGUACUACCUCAUCCUGUGAUCUUGGGGGUCCCUUCUUCUUUCCAAGCCUCUGUCUUCACAACCUCUAGCAUUAUGCGGGUGAACUAACAUAUGAUUCCUCAUUCAUGGAUUCAACCAACCUCUAUAUUCUGUUAAGAGAAGUUGUAUAUGCUGUCUGCAAGUUGGAGGCCCAGGAAAGCUGGUGGUGUCAUUCAAACUGAAUCUGGAGGCCUAAGAACUGGGGGGCUGCUGCUGUAGAUCUCAGUCAAGAGAGGAGAAGAUUGAUCUGUCUCAACUAUAGUCACUAGGGAGGAAAGGUCAAAUUCCCCCCUUUUCUGCCUUUUUGUGCUAUCCAGAGCCACUGCACUGCAGAAGGUCUCCUGCUUCAGUGUGUCCAUUCCUAUGAUAGUCUCUUCCAAACACCCUCACAGACCCAGGGAGUGAUGAUGCUUCCUCAAAUACCAGGGCACCUGUGGUCCAGGCAUGGGACACAUAAAAUGAGCCAUCAGACAAGCUGCCUAAACUUGCUGGGAUUCAGUUUCCCCAUCUUUAAUGAGAAGAGUACUCAUAUGUGUCCCUUGUGAUUGUUAAGAAGAAUAAUGAGUUCACAGAUUUGGAACAUGUGACCCUAGUCACCACAUGAAACAUAAUCUGGAAAAGAAAACAAAGACAGGAUUCUUCUUCCUUGCUUGGAGAGAGGAAAAUUCCAGAUGCCAGGGAGGCACAGCGGAGGAGGGGCGGUACAUCUAAUCUGAAGACAUCAAGAAAGACUUCUCCAUAAGUGGGUGUGUAGGUGGAUCCUGAAAAGAGAUGCACAAAGACUUGGCCAGAUUAAGAACAGCACAACAUAGGAGAAGACACAGACAGCUGCAAUGGAGAAAUGAGGACACGGGAGUUCAUGGAGGCUGGUAGAACUGGGGCAUCCUGGUAAAGUCCUGGGCGUUAACAUUCUACCCGGUUAAACCUCAAUCCUGCUACUCACUGACUCACAUUCACAGGAAUUUGAUCCUGGCUGCCACCUCGGGAGAGAGAAAUUGUAGUUGCUACUGUCCU